AAGACUAAAACUCGUCAUUAAUACACUAUACAUAGACUGUGUUUUUCCAAUGGGUAAUUUUUAUAGAACCCCCUUGAUCUAGUGUUAUACAGUUCUGUUAGUCUUUAGUAAAGUUCUAAGGGAACUCUAGUGGAAGAAAGUUGUCAUAGAAUAAUAAGCACAAGAAGAAUGGCCACUCCAAUAUCAACCGUUAACAACAAUACCUACUACAUGUAUAAUAUACGUGGUGAUUGUGAAGCUGUACAGAUUGGAAAAUCAAACACAAUAUUAAAUGAAACUAAAAACCAGACCGACCCGGAUGAUCGCACUUCCGAUAUGGAAGAUUUCCGGUUUAAAUUUAAUCGGAUAAAUGAACAAUUUGAAAGAAAAGAUGAAGAAAUAGCUGCAUUAAAAAACAGGGUGGCUGACCUGGAAGCAUUUAAGAAGAAAGUAGAACAAUCAGAAGUCAAGACAAACACCAACACUAAUACUAGACGUUAUAUCAGGGAUACCAGUAAUGACAUUACUCUAAAGUUGGUAUUUUGCCGAUGUAUAGAUAUGGGUACUAUAACUGUGAGUAAGAAAGUCAGUGUUAAUGAUUUAAUGAAGUUGAUAGAAGAGAAGAAGAAUGAGAAGAUUAGUCUGCUUGUUAUAGAGGGAUACAGACAUGGUAGUAUGAGAGUUAUCUACGACAGUGAUAGCAACAAGAACGACUAUAGCCUGGAACAACUUGGUGUUGUAGACCAGGACCAGGUUGUGUUCUGUUGAUAGUAAAAUAUAGAGAUUAUAUUGAUAUGAUGUAUUUAUGGUCUCCUUUAUAUUGAACAAUGAGGUGUGUCGGGUGGGGUAGGGUAGAUAUUACUUAUAGUAAAAUAUAAUGGAUGAACCAGAACGAGGUUAGGUAUUAUUAUCUUAUUGUCUCUUGAUUAGGUUGUGAGGGUGGAAUAAAGUAAAAUGUUAAAAUGUUAGAGUGGUGUAAUGUGGUGGGUGGGAGUGGUGUGUGUUUAGGGUGUGGUCAGUGGUGGUUGGUGGUGUUGGUGUUGUGUGUGAUGUGAUGGGUGGUAUACGUGGUUGGGUGGGUGCUAUGUUAGUGAUGAGUAUUACCAACCACAUCAGCACCCUAGUAUUUAACCAAGUAUCUUAUACCCCCCCCCCCCCAACCCCCAUGAUUGAUAUAUUGAAUCUUACUCUAAGUAAUAUCUAACCUGUCCCAACUGUCCACCUGUCCCACCUGUUAGUAUUUAACCAAGUAUCGUAUACCCCUCCCCCCCACCACCCCCAUGAUUGAUAUAUUGAAUCUUACUCUAAGUAAUAUCUUACCUGUCCCACCUGAUUGAUAUAUUGAAUCUUACUCGAAGUAAUAUCUUACCUCUCCCACCUGUUCCACCUGAUUGAUAUAUUGAAUCUUACUCUAAGUAAUAUCUUACCUGUCUCACCUGUCCCACCUGAUUGAAAUAUUGAAUCUUACUCUAAGUAAUAUCUAACAUCCUAAUAUAAAACUAGCUUUCUACUGUAAAUAAAGCUGUAAUUCAAUAGUCACGAUUAUUAGGUGAUAUGUAGUCGUGAUCAUGUGAUAACUAACUGACAUGUAUAUAAUAUAUAAUUAUAUUAGUUAAACAAUGUUUUAUAUUUUUUGUUCUAAUUUUGUUUCAAUAAAAUAUUUUAUAACUAAA